GCGAAAACUUUACAAUGCUGGCAACAGCGAUAAGGGGACCUCGAGUACCAGGUUACAAAUCUGGCUGUCGAGAUGCCUAAAAAGCAUUUCAUAGCAAGGGCCGGGCAAGACCGGUGCCAGCCGCCGCGGUAACACCGGCGGCUCGAGUGGUAACCGUUAUUAUUGGGUCUAAAGGGUCUGUAGCCGGCCGGAUAAGUCUCUUGGGAAAUCUGGCAGCUUAACUGUCAGGCUUUCAGGAGAUACUGUUCGGCUCGAGGCCGGGAGAGGUGAGAGGUACUUCAGGGGUAGGGGUGAAAUCUUGUAAUCCUUGAAGGACCACCAGUGGCGAAGGCGUCUCACCAGAACGGACCUGACGGCAAGGGACGAAAGCUAGGGGCACGAACC
rnacentral:rRNA from 1 species